AAAAGAGAUGCUCGUUUAUUUAGAUUGUGCAAACUGUUAUUACUAUUAUUAAUAUUAUUUACAAAAUAAUAUUUCUGAAACCCAAUAUGCGUCAAUUUGACGCGUUCCGUAGUGUUAAGGGAAUUCGAAUGCUCGAGAAUGCAAUUGGAAGAACAAAUUGUGGACCGAAAUGUAGAAUGGUUCUUCCUGAGACACGUUAUAAGAAUCAGCAUACUACAGAUAUUUUGUAUAUAUUAUUUUGUAUAUAGUAAACCUAGUGUUAACUGUGUAUGUAUUGUAGAUAAUCACCUCUAUGGGAUCGCUCGCGAUGACCACGCGUUCUCCGUUCUCCGAGACGACGUUCCCAUUCGGAUCGCUCGUGGUCUCGUUUCGGAGGAGAAGCAGCUUCCCGAGAGCGCCGUGGGAACACGAUCGAUUUCUGCAGCGACGUCGUUUCCGGUGCCUCGCGUGCCUUGUGGGAAGUGCGUCCUCCUCGAGCUCGUCGUUCCGCUGCUCCCUGAGACUGACGGACAUCCAGGAACGGAAGGAUUUGGAGGAUGACGGCUCCGCGAUGAUUUCUUCCGGGGCUCGAGAUGUCCUGUCGUUUGGCUGUCGGACAGAUCAACUGUUUAUUGGAUGAAGAAUCGGAUUGGUAGUGAAUCCUUGAUUAUUACUCGAAUCGAGGAUGAACUUGUCCAAGUAAUUACUUAGAUAAUCCUCAAGGUUCUGUACAUUUCGAAGAAUCUUCGUCAAAGGGUUAAUGCUACUAUUGGCGGAGUGCAACAGACGAAUAUUAGUCUCGAGUAUCAAGGUCACGACUGUUGAAGCUCUGUUGCAUCGGUAGGAGAACCGGAGGCGAGUUCGAGGCACAACGGUGACCGUCCCGAGGUUCGCGACGGAGCUGGCAGGGCAACGGUCGGCACAUCAAAGGGGCCCCGUGUUUGGCUCGUGGACGAGACACGGGGAUCGAGCAGGGAAAAGGGACGCACCGGUACACGCCGGGAUGGAACGGAGCGGAAUGGGAUAUGCUCGGCGGAUCCGGGAACGUUUCUACUUCUGGGAAGCGUACAUUCCAUGCUCUUAGUCGACGUAACGAGGAGAAAUUCAAGUGACGCACUAGAUUGAACAAUGAACAAAAGGGACCAUCUUCGAGUAAAAUUCGAGGCUACACGUCAGAAGCUCAGUCAGUUAAAAUGACGCUAGGGUAAGUGCUGGACAAGUCAUCGACAGUCCCUUUCCACAUAAACAUCCCCAACUCUUCAACCCUUUAUAGGCUCGUGUGACUUUGAAGUCACACAUCAUUAUACUGAGUUAAAUUGACGUGUUUAAUUUUUUAUUGCAAAAUGACAAACAUUAAACGCUGUGUAUACGACUAAGAUCAAACUUUGAUGGUUACGGUUUGACAGUGCUGAACCAAGUCUGCCGCAGAGUCGAUUUAGUCCUUUUCAAAAGAAAAAAUAGGAGUAGCGGGGACGAGACACGGCGAGGAUGAUUCGGAGUUCAAGGGGACGAAUGACUCGAGGAUCAAGGUACAUGGAUGAGUCAGUAGGUCACCAGUCAUCGUCCAGAGUUCGUCCAUCGGAAAACACAGCACGAUAGAGGGUUUCAACCCCCGUUAAAAAUAAACUGUGCGAGCUCGCCAGCAACAGGUGACCGGGUGUGUCGAAGCUUACCAGAUUUCCGGUGGUGCCCAGGAUCGAUCGGAAGACGAGUAUCCAGCAGAUCAGGGCCGAAGCUCUCAUGACUCUCAAGGAUGAUCGCCUCGCGCAGCCUCGCUCAUGAUGCGGCCCCAAUGCGGGCGCACGGUGUCCCGGUUCAUUUCCCUCUAAAAGCGAGCAGCCUCCCCGAUCGUCGGCUUCCAUUUACUCGGCCAGCAUCGUCGUUCCAUCCUCGAGGGAGAUCCGCGGUGUCGUUGGCCUCUUGUUUGUGUCCGCGCAGGAUCAAGGGAGAUCGGUGGAUCGCCAGCGCCACUGGGGACUUGAUAUCGUCCGCGCGGUGAGAACACGAUAACAAACAGCGGAAGAGAGGCGACGAGGAGAGAGAGAGAAAAGGACGCGGGGAGGAGGGAGGAAAAACGCGCGGCGCACACGAGCCACGCGGCGCGCACCGUUCAAAGGCCUGCCACUAUAUGUAUAGUUGUGAACCGGUGAAGUGUUCUGUCCCACUAUAAUGGCCAACGGUGGUAGCGGCGAGACUGCUGGAGAGGUAGCGCGCCGGAUGACAGAACACUACGUCAUUGUACAGACCGUACAGUUCACGGCUUAGGGCUCCUUACUCGGGGGGCCCGCGACAGGCCCUUCUCUUUCCGUUUCGCGCCAUUCCACCUUCCUCUCCGUUCCACCGACCGAUCCGUGGAACUUUCAUUUGAUACACAUUGGUAAUAGAAUAGUUUGUUUUGAUCCAUAGGUAAUGAACAAUAUUGAUUAUUAUUCAGUCUAGAUAUCUUCGUCACGAGGGGUUAAAUUUAGCUAUUGAGCAAUCUCAUGUAAACAUGGCACUUUUACUACCAAAAAUCAUUUUAUUAUUUUUAUCUAUGUCAAUGUUUCCUAGCAGUAACUUUCACGUGAUUUUUUUUGUCUUCAUCCUGCACUGAUUAAGAUUGCUUCGACCCUGUCUUAAUUUCUUUAAUCAUUCGAUCUUUAACCAUUCUUAAUUUUUGUAAUCAUUCGAUCAUAAUUGAAGACAAUGGUACAUUGGAAAGUGUUUCAUGUCAGUGUUUCCUAGCGAUAACUUGAAACACUUU